AUGGUAUUUCCUCCGUUCAGAAUUAUUUGUCGCAAAAAUGGAUGUAUCUAGACGUAUUUUAGUUUUAGAUAUAUCCAUUUUCAAGACAAGUAAUUCCGAACGGAGGGAGUAGUUU
rfam:Triticum urartu cultivar G1812 contig133086, whole genome shotgun sequence.